rnacentral:rRNA from 4 species
GCCUAGGAGAUACACCUGUUCUCAUGCCGAACACAGAAGUUAAGCCCUAGAACGCCGGAAGUAGUUGGGGGUUGCCCCCUGUGAGAUAAGGU